UACGAAGGGUGCAAGCGUUGUUCGGAUUUAUUGGGCGUAAAGCGCACGUAGGUGGACUUGUAAGUCAGAUGUGAAAUCUCGGGGCUCAACCUCGAAACUGCGUCUGAAACUGCAAGUCUAGAAUCUUGGAGGGGGCAGGGGAAUUUCACAUGUAGGGGUAAAAUCCGUAGAUAUGUGAAGGAACACCAGAGGCGAAGGCGCCUGCCUGGACAAGUAUUGACACUGAGGUGCGAAAGCGUGGGGAUCAAACAGG
rnacentral:rRNA from 1 species